CCCGCUGAACUUAAGCAUAUCAAUAAGCGGAGGAAAAGAAACCAACCGGGAUUGCCUCAGUAACGGCGAGUGAAGCGGCAAGAGCUCAAAUUUGAAAUCUGGCCCCUCUGGGGUCCGAGUUGUAAUUUGCAGAGGAUGCUUCGGGUGCGGUCCCCGUCUAAGUGCCCUGGAACGGGCCGUCAUAGAGGGUGAGAAUCCCGUCUGGGAUGGGCGGCCGCGCCCGUGUGAAGCUCCUUCGACGAGUCGAGUUGUUUGGGAAUGCAGCUCUAAGCGGGUGGUAAAUUUCAUCUAAAGCUAAAUACUGGCCGGAGACCGAUAGCGCACAAGUAGAGUGAUCGAAAGAUGAAAAGCACUUUGAAAAGAGAGUUAAACAGCACGUGAAAUUGUUGAAAGGGAAGCGUUGUCCACCAGACUCGCCCGGGGGGGCUCAGCCGGCACGUGUGCCGGUGUACUCCUCUCCGGGCGGGCCAGCAUCGGUUUGGGCGGCUGGUGAAAGACCCCGGGAAUGUACCACCCUCCGGGGUGCCUUAUAGCCCGGGGUGCCAUGCAGCCAGCCUGGACCGAGGCCCGCGCUUCGGCGAGGAUGCUGGCGUAAUGGUGGUCAACGGCCCGUCUUGAAACACGG
rnacentral:rRNA from 1 species